GGUGAAACGUGCGCUUCCUGAGCCUUGAAGCUGCGCGCCCCACCCCCCACCAGCGUCCUUCCCGUUCUCUCCUCCCUGCGGCGCCGAGUGGGACUCGGUGGUGGAGCGGCGCUGCAUUCCUGGACCUACCGGAGGCGAGAUGGCAGAGCAACGAGGGAGCCAGGAGAGAGAAGUGCUUGAGCGCCGGUGUCUCUGGUUCAGCCCCAGGCCCACCCCUUCCCGUCAGCGUGACCUUGGGCAGAUCACUUAAUGUGUCUAUAACUCGGGCUCUUCACCUGGAGAACGCCCCCAGUGAUGGACCGACCCACCCAUCGAUAGACAGACAUCUGAUUGGAGAACAUGCCGGCAGGUCCCCUCUGAGUUCAACAGAACUUGAUGCAUAGAUAGAUAAACAAGUAAAUAAAUAACCCAGUUUUUAGUGGCAAGUUCA